rnacentral:rRNA from 1 species
AUGCUCCCGUCCUUGCAAGAACUAACCAUGAGCAGAGUCCGUGACAUGAACGUGCUGACGCUCAACUCCAAGUCUCUAGUAUCUAUUGAUCUGUCCUAUCUCAUGGGGCUUCAGCAUCUCCACAUCACGGCUCCAGGGCUCCAUCAGCUAGAGGUGGUACGCUGCUUCUAUGAUUCUCUCAAACCAGUUGCCAGCAUUACUGCAGAGAGAUUAGAGGUACUCAGGUGGAAUAUGCCGGAUGAUCUAGAGUCUGUCCACCUCGGAGAGAUGCCAUGCCUCCAGACGCUCGGAGCACCUCCUAUCGACACACAUCGUUGGCGAGGUUUUCAGAUGGCUCAGAUAUGUGCAGGGUUUCUUGGUCGCUUUACAGCAGUUCACCACCUUGAGCUUGAGAUGACUCUUGGUCCGAGGAUGGAUAGCUCGUUGCUCCUGAUGGAAGACAUAGUCAUCCCUAAUGUGGAUAUCUUGGGGUUAUCCUUAGAAACAAAUGAGCAUGCUUUUGCAAGAAGUGUACUGUGGUUGCUCACAAAGUGUCAUGGUAUAAGAGAGCUGCGCCUAUCAUUCCAAAUCCGAGAUGAGGUCCGAAGUUACUUUCGCCAAACUGCAUUUGCCACACUGAGCCAGGAGCUGAGGGCGUUCUGA